rnacentral:rRNA from 1 species
ACGCACGCUGGCGGCGUGCUUCACACCUGCCAGUCGCACGGAAAGGCCCUGCUUUUGUGGGGUGCUCGAGUGGCGAACGGGUGAGUAACACGUGAGUAACCUGCCCUUGACUUUGGGAUAACUUCAGGAAACUGGGGCUAAUACCGGAUAGGAGCUCCUGCUGCAUGGUGGGGGUUGGAAAGUUUCGGCGGUUGGGGAUGGACUCGCGGCUUAUCAGCUUGUUGGUGGGGUAGUGGCUUACCAAGGCUUUGACGGGUAGCCGGCCUGAGAGGGUGACCGGCCACAUUGGGACUGAGAUACGGCCCAGACUCCUACGGGAGGCAGCAGUGGGGAAUAUUGCACAAUGGGCGGAAGCCUGAUGCAGCAACGCCGCGUGCGGGAUGACGGCCUUCGGGUUGUAAACCGCUUUCGCCUGUGACGAAGCGUGAGUGACGGUAAUGGGUAAAGAAGCACCGGCUAACUACGUG